rnacentral:rRNA from 1 species
AAGCUCGUAGUUGAAUUUCGGGAUUGACACAUCGGUCGUGCCUUAAGGGGUAUGAACUGGUGUAGUCAAUUUCUCACCUUCUGGAGAACCGCGAUGCCCUUAAUUGGGUGUCACGGGGAACCAGGACCUUUACUUUGAAAAAAUUAGAGUGUUUAAAGCAGGCAUUUUGCUUGAAUACAUUAGCACGGAAUAAUAAAAUAGGACGGCAUGAUUCUAUUUUGUUGGUUUCUAGGAUCACCGUAAUGAUUAAUAGGGAUAGUUGGGGGCAUUAGUAUUCAAUUGUCAGAGGUGAAAUUCUUGGAUUUAUUGAAGACUAACUACUGCGAAAGCAUUUGCCAAGGAUGUUUUCAUUAAUCAAGAACGAAAGUUAGGGGAUCGAAGACGAUCAGAUACCGUCGUAGUCUUAACCAUAAACUAUGCCGACUAGGAAUCAGACGAUGUUAAUUUUUUAAUGACUCGUUC